GAAAAGUCGUAACAAGGUUUCCGUAGGUGAACCUGCGGAAGGAUCAUUAUUGUAUAACCGAGGUGCGAGGGCUGUCGCUGACCCGAAAGGUCGUGCACGCCCGAGUGCCCUCACACAUCCAUCUCACCCCUAUGUGCACCACCGCGUGGGUCCCCCUUUGGCUUGUUCGGAGGGGGGCUUACGUUUUCACACAAACUUUGUAUGCAGUGUAGAAUGUAUUUUUUGUUUUUGCGAUCACGCAAUCAAUACAACUUUCAACAACGGAUCUCUUGGCUCUC
rnacentral:misc_RNA from 1 species